UACGGAGGGUGCAAGCGUUAUCCGGAUUCACUGGGCUUAAAGGGUGCGUAGGAGGGCAGGUAAGUCAGUGGUGAAAUCCCCGAGCUUAACUUGGGAACUGCCGUUGAUACUAUCUGUCUUGAAUAUCGUGGAGGUGAGCGGAAUAUGUCAUGUAGCGGUGAAAUGCUUAGAUAUGACAUAGAACACCAAUUGCGAAGGCAGCUCGCUACACGAAUAUUGACUCUGAGGCACGAAAGCGUGGGGAUCAAACAGG
rnacentral:rRNA from 1 species